rnacentral:lncRNA from 1 species
CUAGCUUCCCGGCUGCUUUGUUUACCCAAGCAAGCCUGGGCAAUGGCGGGCGCCCCUCCCCCAGCCUUGCUGCGGCCUUGCAGUUUGAUCUCAGACUGCUGUGCUAGCAAUCAGCGAGACUCCGUGGGCGUAGGACCCUCCUAGCCAGGUGCAAGAUAUAAUCUCGCGGUGCGCCGUUUUUUAAGCCGGUCCGAAAGCGCAAUAUUCGGGUGGGAGAGACCCGAUUUUCCAGUGAGAUGAACCCAGUACCUCAGAUGGAAAUGCAGAAAUCACCCGUCUUCUGCGUCGCUCACGCUGGGAGCUGUAGACCGGAGCUGUUGCUAUUCGGCCAUCUUGGCUCCUCUCCUGGAAUGUGCCAUAUGUGGAGACCUGCAUGGAAAGGAACUGAGGAUGCUCUCUCACUAAAAGCUAGAAGGAACUGAGGCCCUCAGUCAACAGUCUACAAGACACUGAAUCUUGCCAGCAGCCAAGCAGUGAGCUUGAAAGCAGAUCUAUCAUCAGCUGAACCUUCAGAUGAGACCGCAGCCUAAGCAGAUACCUUGGUUGCAGCCAUGUGAGACAACCUGAAACAGAGGGCACAGCUAAGCCUCAGCCAGGUUCAUGACCCUCUGAGGAAACUGUGAGAAAGCAAAUGUCAUUUUAAGCUAUUUAAUUUUGGAGGUAGUUUAUUACACAACAAUAAAUAACUAUUAUAAUUAUCUUGAGGAUUUAUUUCCUGGGGAGAAUACAUGGAAUUGCAUAUAUAGGUCCUCAUAUGCAGAAUACUGGUACCCUAGAGAUGUUCACCCCAGAGAUGUUUUAGGAACCUGUGAAUAUGUUACAUUAAAUGGCAAAGUUUUCCUGGAUGGUUUAAGUUUAAGAUGGAAAAGUUUUACUGGAUUAUCCAGUGGGUCCAAUCUAGUAACAUGAGUCCUUAAAAAUGGAGAAUAUUUUUUGGCCAUGAUCAGAGAGACAUGUGAUGAUGGAAAAAGUGUCAGAGAUGCAAUGUGAGGGGACUAAAACUGCUGUUGCUGACUUUAAAGAUGGAGAGAGGGGAACCCGAGUCAAGGAAUGCAAAUGGCCUCUGGAAGCUGGAAAAAGCAAGAAAUGGAUUCUCCUUUAGAGCCUGUGGAAUAAAAUGCAGUCAUGCUGACACCUUGAUUUUACCUCAGUGAGACCAAUACUGGAGUAUGACCUUCGGAGCUGUAAGUUAAUAAAUUUCUGUUGUCUUA